rnacentral:rRNA from 1 species
CUGGCUCAGGACGAACGCUGGCGGUGUGCUUCAUACAUGCAAGUCGAACGAUAAGGUCCCUUCGGGGAUACAUAAGUGGCGGACGGGUGAGUAACACGUAGAAAAUCUACCUCGAGGAAGGGGACAACAGUUGGAAACGACUGCUAAUACCCUAUAUGAGCUGGGCUGAAACGCCUAUCUUGAAAGUUCCGGCGCCUUGAGAUGAGUCUGCGUCUGAUUAGCUAGUUGGUGGGGUAAAUGCCUACCAAGGCGACGAUCAGUAGCUGGUUUGAGAGGAUGACCAGCCACAAUGGGACUGAGACACGGCCCAUACUCCUACGGGAGGCAGCAGUAGGGAAUUUUGCGCAAUGGGGGAAACCCUGACGCAGCAACACCGCGUGAACGACGAAGCCCUUCGGGGUGUAAAGUUCUGUCAGUAGGGACGAAUUUUGACGGUACCUACAAAGGAAGCAUCGGCUAACUACGUGCCAGCCGCAGC